AACGAACGCUGGCGGCAGGCUUAACACAUGCAAGUCGAACGCCCCGCAAGGGGAGUGGCAGACGGGUGAGUAACGCGUGGGAACAUACCCUUUCCUGCGGAAUAGCUCUGGGAAACUGGAAUUAAUACCACAUACGCCCUACGGGGGAAAGAUUUAUCGGGGAAGGAUUGGCCCGCGUUGGAUUAGCUAGUUGGUGGGGUAAAGGCCUACCAAGGCGACGAUCCAUAGCUGGUCUGAGAGGAUGAUCAGCCACAUUGGGACUGAGACACGGCCCAAACUCCUACGGGAGGCAGCAGUGGGGAAUGUUGGACAAUGGGCGCAAGCCUGAUCCAGCCAUGCCGCGUGAGUGAUGAGGGCCUUAGGGUUGUAAAGCUCUUUCACCGAUGAAGAUAAUGACGGUAGUCGGAGAAGAAGCCCCGGCUAACUUCGUGCCAGCAGCCGCCGUAACAC
rnacentral:rRNA from 1 species